AGUACUAGCCGAGUUUUCUAUUAAUUUAGUAAACAAAAUGGUGAAACCGCAAAAAGCUCAUUAAAUCGGCUUUCGUUACUUAGACAAUACGCAGUUAGCAAUUUUUUUCUAUGGAAAAAAUUGAAUCACUGAAAUGGAUAACUGUGGUAAUUCUAGAGCUAAUACAUGAAAAUUGAACAAUUUUGAAUGCGAAAAUUCGGAACGGUUCCUCGUGUCAGCUUGCUGAAUUCCGAGAAUUGUGACGAUGAAAAUUUUUGCACGCUUUUAUUAGAGUAAAAAGCCAGCUGAAUAACGAUCGCUCGACAUUUCAAGCGUAACGCGCGAUUUGGUAUGUAGCGAUUGUUGAAUCAUUAUGAGUUCCUCUCCGUUUUGGAGAGAAAUAUCAAUAAUGUUGAAUCUCAAUAACUCGAAUGAAUCGUUUACGAAAGCUAACGAAAAUUUGGCAAGCAAUUGACAAGCUUUGUUAGUGAUUAGGAAACGAUUUAAAGCAGACCGCAAUAAAUGAAUAAUCAAAUUUUGUUAACAAAAUUUGUUUAAUUUGCGGCGUGUCUUUCAAUUGUCUGCCUUAUCAACUGUCGAUGGUAGAUUAUAUGUCUACCAUGGUUGCAACGGGUAACGGGGAAUCAGGGUUCGAUUCCGGAGAGGGAGCCUGAGAAACGGCUACCACAUCUAAGGAAGGCAGCAGGCGCGUAAAUUACCCACUCCCAGUUCGGGGAGGUAGUGACGAAAAAUAACGAUCCGGAACUCGAAUGAGUUUCCGUAAUCGGAAUGAGUACAAUUUUAAUCCUUUAACAAGGACCUAUUGGAGGGCAAGUCUGGUGCCAGCAGCCGCGGUAAUUCCAGCUCCAAUAGCGUAUAUUAAAGUUGUUGCGGUUAAAAAGCUCGUAGUUGAAUCUCUAUCUCAUACUGUCAAACGCUCAUAAUAUUCAUUUAUGUAGUAUGUUUUUGACAAAAUUUUUUAUGGUAUGAGAUAUGCAAACUGGUGGAUUUUGAAAAAUUGUUAUUCGAGCACGUAACGCAAACUCUAUGUUGUGCAUACGUGUGGAAUAGAAUUUUUAAAUUCGAUAUCGUCGGUCAAUAUGUUGACCGGAUUUGUGUGCCGAAUUUCGAACAUGGUUCAUGCAAAAUUUCGUCGCGUUAAAUGAACUGAUUGUUGUCAUUCGUUUAGCGUGCGUAAUGUGAACCAAUGUUUCGUUUUUCAUGGUACGCAGUUCGUUAAUGGUGAACAUGAUCGUUCGAUAUUCUAAAUGUUGAUCAAAAAGAUGUGCAUCGGAAUCUUAUGUUUCCAUGUCAUUGUCAACAAAUUUAGACCAGUUAAAUUACUUUGAACAAAUUAGAGUGCUUAAAGCAGGCUACAUUAUGUGCCUUGAAUAUAAACAGCAUGGAAUAAUAGAAUAUGAUCUCGAUACUGUUUUGUUCCACUGU
rnacentral:rRNA from 1 species